GCCAGAUUUCGGAUUACCGCGGCCGCGUCGUGCUUGACAGGGACGAGUGUGCGAGGCCCAUAGUUCGGGUGGUCUGAAUCGGUGAGCCCUGCUCCAGCUGCUACUGGUGUGGCUGAAGAGGAUGUGGCCCAGGAUCUUUCCCGUGCCCCAACUCCUCAUGCCGCAGCUGCGAGAUGGGGGCAACCGGCAGGCCGAGGCGCUGGAGUUACUAGCCGCAAACACCAGGCGGCAGGGCCAGGC